rnacentral:tRNA from 1 species
GGCUGCGUAGCCCAAUGGCAGAGGCAACAGUCUUAGAAACUGUCAAGUGUGAGUUCGACUCUCACCGCAGCUA